AUUGAACGCUGGCGGCAUGCCUUACACAUGCAAGUCGAACGGCAGCGCGGGGCAACCUGGUGGCGAGUGGCGAACGGGUGAGUAAUGCAUCGGAACGUACCUUUCAGUGGGGGAUAACGUAGCGAAAGUUACGCUAAUACCGCAUAUUCUGUGCGCAGGAAAGCAGGGGAUCGCAAGACCUUGCGCUGAUUGAGCGGCCGAUGUCAGAUUAGCUAGUUGGUGAGGUAAAGGCUCACCAAGGAGACGAUCUGUAGCGGGUCUGAGAGGAUGAUCCGCCACACUGGAACUGAGACACGGUCCAGACUCCUACGGGAGGCAGCAGUGGGGAAUUUUGGACAAUGGGGGCAACCCUGAUCCAGCCAUGCCGCGUGAGUGAAGAAGGCCUUCGGGUUGUAAAGCUCUUUCGGCCGGGAAGAAAUCGCACGGGCUAAUACCCUGUGUGGAUGACGGUACCGGAAUAAGAAGCACCGGCUAACUACGUGCCAGCCGCCGCAGUAAGAC
rnacentral:rRNA from 1 species